rnacentral:tRNA from 1 species
UUAAAAGCAGUUUUGGAAAACAUUAACUUUGGAAGUUAUAGGAUGAGGUAAACUCACUUUUAAA